UACAGAGGUCUCAAGCGUUGUUCGGAUUCAUUGGGCGUAAAGGGUGCGUAGGCGGCGCGGUAAGUCGGGUGUGAAAUCUCGGAGCUUAACUCCGAAACUGCAUUCGAUACUGCCGUGCUUGAGGACUGGAGAGGAGACUGGAAUUUACGGUGUAGCGGUGAAAUGCGUAGAUACCGUAAGGAAGACCAGUGGCGAAGGCGGGUCUCUGGACAGUUCCUGACGCUGAGGCACGAAGG
rnacentral:rRNA from 1 species